GAGAAGUCAUGCCUAUAAAACAGGAGCAGACUGAGGCUGCUUGGAGCAGAAUGGCUUCAGCAGAGAAAAGGCAAAGGAGAAGGAAGAAGUGCUGGGGUGGACAACCCAGAGCAGACUCCUGUGAUCUGAUGGAUUCUGAUAAAAGUUCAGACUAUGUAGAGAGACUAGCACACAAAUACAUGCGAAAAUGCACAGUGGAGUCCAGUACGGAGUCAGAAUCUGAAUCCAAUAAUGAGACUCUUGCAGAAAUUUUUAGAGCGCUUAAACUGAAUUCCAAACGUGUGGCAACCAUGUAUGAAACCAUUUGUUAAUACGUAUGUCUGAUGGGAAUACUUCCUCAAACAGGGCCUGCCCAACACACGGACUGAGGGAGUCUUCAAGAAAGCAAGAGAGAUGCUACUUCAGUUUUUAGAUCCAUAUGAUGGUGAUUCAGAAGAUGCAUCAACCCAUUCAGAUUGUAGUUUGAAUUCUCUUAAUGAUAUAAACUAUAACAGAGUUACACCUUUGGGGCACAAUUUACCAGAGAUGGUGGAAGACAUUUACUCUUCUGAAAACAAAGAGUCCCUACAUAUGUUUUCAAAUUGGGUCUCCCCAAUAACAGAAAUCUGUGAUGUCUAUAUGCAGCCAGAAAAUGACCUUAAAAUACAGAUGGAAGUUAUCACUAAAGAGAAAAGUGAUGUUCCAAUAAGACUUUCCAGGCCAUGUGAACUGUCCAGAGCCUCUGGAGUACUUACCUCUGCAAUGUGGCUGACAUCUGACUGUUCCUUACUCAUGAGUGGUGACCCUUCAAAGUAUCCUGGAGUCCUAGAAAGCCCCGUCACCACUAUUCUGCAACAACCCAUGUUAGCAAAGUCUGAUGGUGAAAAUACAAUGUGUGACCAAUCAAUAAUCAAGAGAAAACUAGCGCUUCCACUUCUAGAGGGUGUUGGUGAAAAGCUAAGAAGAAAGAAAUUGCGUGCAACCUAAUCUAAGGUACAUAUAGGCUAAUUAUAAUCUGGAAUUCCCUCUGUUUAAACAUAUCUCUAAUUUACUAUAGUACAAGACAACAUGUCAGCUAGGUCUAGCAGUACCCUACAGAAUAUUAAUGCUUAUGUAGGGGAAAUGGAGCUAAUAUAGGCUGUACCAGUAGUUGUGAUCAAACCUGAUCCCAUCCAAUAUACAGUUCUCUGCCUUCAGUCCUGUGUUUCUCCUGCACCUGUGGCCAAGUAAUUAUGCAUUUCUUAAGCAAUAAGCUACAGCAGAUACUAUGCCUUAUUUUAUACAUGCCUAUGCUAUUGCUGCAGGGGUCAGGCCUUUUCAUGAAAGGGUAGUUAUUGUGAUGCUACGCAUUUCUCCAACUAAACCGAAGUAGUGUUGGUACAGAAUAAGUAGCACUCAUCAUAGUGUUUCACCUUCACAGUGACUGCACCAUCUUCAGAGAGGCCUGUGCCUGCUUCCUGCAGCUGCUUUGUUCCCAUUGUGAUUGGUCACUUGCAGGUUCAGCCUUGGAUAACUGCCAAAAUAACUCAAAUCACACAAAUCAGAAGUUUGUGGGAGCAGAUAAUGCUCAUCAACUUUCAUUUUGCAGGGUCAAACUGACUUUCCUUUUUAUUCAGUGUUGACAAUUAACUCUAAUAGAUCCUGUUUCUCUAACCUUCUCUCCAGCACAGUGCAUACCAAUGUGGGUUUAUAAUGUAAAUACCAGCAGUUGAAGUUCUUCUACAAUGAGGGGUGUUUGUUCUUCCUUUAUGAGAAUGAUUUUUCUCUUUCUCAAACCCAGCUGCUAAACAGAAUGACCAGGACCCAGAGAAUAAAUAAGUUUUAAUUAGCAGGGCUACCUCUUUUUGCCAUAUGGUAGAGGAUAGAUUUUUUUUUUGUGUGUGUGUGUAAUCUAGAGAAGAAGGGCUUCAUGAGCCCCUUUGCUCAGCACUAGUAAAACUGGCUGCUCCUGAACAAAUGUAGAGGUGUGGGAUGUGCCUCUUAGCAGGAAGAGUGAGAGAAGGGUAUUUUGUUGCAGCACCACCCAGAGCCACAGGGAUGUUUGUUUAAACUUCUUUUCAAAUCUGUUAUCCCAGUAUAUAACCUGUGUUUAUUACAAUUGAAAUAAACUUUAAACCAAGCCUAAACUUUAUUGCUCGUCCUUAUUAACUGUAUUUUCUCAAGGUGGACCUGAGAAGUGGGGCAAGUGAAACAUAAAAUCUACAUCAAGUGUUCUAUUGAACAUCAGUUAGAACCUGUGUCUUAAGUUCAUGAAAAGUUCCACCUUACUUAAAAAUCCUCCAAAGACUCACUCGUGUGCUAGAGUAUGUAUGUUGCUAGUAUGGAUUUCCAUAAUGGAAGAGGGGGAAGAAUACUUAAUAUUUAAUGAGUGGCUACAAUGUAAAAUCAUUGAACUUGGUGAACACAAAUGAAGAAUGGAAGCAAGAGAGCAUGUUGAAGGUAUAGUUUCUUUUAGUAAACUCUUGUGCUUAAGGAAAACUAAGUUAAUUACAGCUGUGAUGUGCUGGAGGAUGACUAUUCUAGUAUGCUGAAAUUUGCUGGGAAUAAAAAUGCUUUUGCUCGUUUUUCUUCCCUGCCAUUAUA